rnacentral:rRNA from 1 species
CUGAUCUCUUAGUUAAAAAGCUAAGAUUUUUCCGCAAGACGAGAAGACCCUGUGGAGCUUCAAACCAAACUCAUAGCAUGAUACACCGGUUUUUAGUUGGGGCGACUUCGGAGAAUAAAAAAUCCUCCGACCAAACACAAUAGAAGAUUAACAUAUCAAAGUAUAAUUAGACCCAGUAGUAUUUAUUACUAACUGAUUAACGAACCAAGUUACCCCAGGGAUAACAGCGCCAUCCUCUUCUAGAGUCCCUAUCGACAAGAGGGCUUACGACCUCGAUGUUGGAUCAGGACA